rnacentral:rRNA from 1 species
GAUGAACGCUGGCGGCGUGCUUAACACAUGCAAGUCGAACGGAUAUAUGGAGCUUGCUUCAUAUAUUAGUGGCGGACGGGUGAGUAACGCGUGAGCAAUCUGUCUCUAUCUGGGGGAUAACACUUAGAAAUAGGUGCUAAUACCGCAUAAGACCACACUAUGGCAUCAUAGAGUGGUAAAAGAUAUAUUUGGAUAGAGAUGAGCUCGCGUCCCAUUAGUUAGUUGGUAGGGUAACGGCCUACCAAGACCGCGAUGGGUAGCCGACCUGAGAGGGUGAUCGGCCACAUUGGAACUGAGACACGGUCCAAACUCCUACGGGAGGCAGCAGUGGGGAAUAUUGGGCAAUGGAGGAAACUCUGACCCAGCAACGCCGCGUGAAGGAAGAAGGUCUUCGGAUUGUAAACUUCUGUCGUAAGGGAAGAAGAAUGACGGUACCUUACAAGAAAGCACCGGCUUACUACGUGCCAGCCGCCGCAGUAACAC